rnacentral:misc_RNA from 1 species
GCAUAAUUGGAGUUAACAUGAUAGUAGCUCCACAUUAAUCCAUAAUCAUUGCUUCUCUUUCAAUUAUGUACAUACAUAUAUUGGAACUACUUUACAGUUGAAUCUAGUGGGUCAACAAUAAUCCAUAACAUUAUCCAACAUAGAACGAGGAGCGCCCUCCAUCAAGCAAGAAACUGGUGGAAUAGUUAGUGUCUGAAGUUGUCCAUACGCAUUCCAACAAAAUGGAUCCAAU